UGCAGAGUGGUGUAAGGGCACAUAUAGGUUUGGGCUUUAAGGAAAUAAUUCAUAUUAUUCUCUGCAC
rnacentral:tRNA from 1 species